rnacentral:lncRNA from 1 species
CAAAAAUGCAGAGGCUUGCUGCUGGGGAUUAAUGCACCAAGCCGGGAGCUGAGCUGAUCAGGUCACCUGAAGGAAUUAUUUACAGUUGUACUACAUCAGGAGGAUUUGAGGAUUUGGCCACAAGAAAAAACACCUCUGUAGUCAAGAGGAGUUCCAACCCACAACUGGUGGGUGCUCAUCUGAAGGAGCAGCUAACCAGAAUUAGACCCACACAGCAUCUCCACUGCAUCUCACCAACAAGCUGGUUUGGCUGGAUGGCUGCUGAGCGGUGCUGGUAUCCACCUGGCUGA